AGCGGAAGAAAAAUGUCUACGGUGGAUGCACGUGACAAGCGCCGAGACUUUGCAUGAUUAAAUACUGACUAAAUUUUCUGGAGUUACCGUGCUAAUAGAAAAUGAUCAGUAGUUUUCAUGCUGCGUUAAAAAAUGCUGUGGACGUGGUGAGUUAUAAUGUUGCUCCACCGGCAACAGCCUUGGACGACUUUACGUACCACUGGAAACAGUUGAUGAAUUUUUACGUGAAUCAUUUGACCAACUGUAAAUUACCGAUAGAAUCUACAAACAUUCCACAUCACCUGGACAGAUUACUCGGGAUCCUGUUGAGUGAAGAAAACUUGCUAGGAUCAGAAAAUCCUGGGCCAUGCUUAGAAUAUUUACUACAGCAUCGUCUUUUGGACUUGCUAGCCACUUUAGCUAGCGCUGAGACACCACCAGGAAUGAGAUUGAUCUGCUUAUCAUUCUUCAAGAGGCUCCUGACCCGACUACAGCAUCCACUGCUUCCUCAUGUUUCAAUUCACAGCCCUGUUCAGAGAUUGAUUACAUUCUGCAAUGGAAAUGUUGCCUCCCCUACUGAAAACGAAGAAAUACAAUUUCUUGUGGCUCUUUGCUUCUUGAUAUGCAAAUAUCCAAACCUCAUAUUUGUUAUGAAUAAUGUUGAAAUACCACAACAGAGGCCAAAAUUUGUAGUUAAUUCGGCUCGAAACAAAUUAGACACGCAACAAAUUACAUAUGCACCUACAAGGACCAGGAACAACUCUAAUCCAUUGUUCGAGCCUCUGAACAUGCAAGCAGUCACUUUAAUAAAUCCCAAUUUCCAUCAUUCUGACAAUGGAAAAAAGCUAUCCAGCACAUCCAGUCGACACUCGGCCAAGAGUAGGGAUUUUAGGGUAAAUUCCAGCAAACAAAUGCCAUACAUGGACGACACUUUAAAUUUGAAUUCUAUGGAACAUGAGAGGAAAGUAUCCAAUCUUUCUAAUGUCCCUUACGGGACGAAUGAAGUAGAGUCUACGUCAAAUAGUCCUAAUUCUUUGAAAAAUUACGUCAGAUUCCUCUCACCAUCAGAUAAUGUAGCUCAUCAAGCAGCCGAAGUGGAUGAAAAGUGCUCACAGCAUACUUUGAUAGGAUCUACAGAGACUAUGAAAGGACUUGGGUCAAAAAUUCAAGAUGUCAGACAGUCACAAAUAGAAUUGAAAGGUGAUUCGUUACACCUCACUGCAUCCUCAAGCCUGGAUAAGAUGGUUGCUCACUGUGAGAUGUUUGAAAAUAUGUCCAGGGCGUUCGGCAACGACUGUCACCCAAAUAAUAGAGCCAAACAUCAUAGUGAAAAUUUGCAGUAUUCUUCAAAUGGUACAUCACCGACAAGAAGCUCUAAAUGCCUAUUACUAGAUGCUUUGAUAAGCUAUCUAAAUAGCGCAGACAAUAUGGUCAGAGUGAAGGCUUGUGAAGGAAUAAUGGUCUUGGCAUCAUUACAAGAUCCCUUGUUUGCUCGUAUCAUUGUGAAGAGUGAAUUGCCAUUUGCAUUAUCCAGUAGACUAGAAAAUUUGUUUAAUCUUAUACCGGCUCAUGUUGAUCCAAAUGAAAUUGACGAAGUCAAUGUAACUUGGGGAUUAGAUUCCCCGCUUUGGACUAGUGAAAAUGAAUUUCCUGGUUGUAGACAACUUGCUGCAUUUUUCAUGUGGCUUGAUUAUUGCGACCAGCUAACUAGAGAGGCUUAUCCAGUAGUUGGAGAAGUUCUUGCUGAAAACAUCCAUGUGAUGUUCUUUCAAAAAGUGUUGACUCCUGCCCUUUCUGAUCAUCAUGUUGUGCUAAUCACUGCGCUCAUUACAAAAUGUUUGAAGGAUAUGAGAUCGCCACUUCUGAACACUGAGAUGAAUUACUGGCUUGUGGGUCAUCGCAGGGAUCCCGAAUUACCUGGUAUUCAACCCUUCCCUGUGAUGCAUCAGUUAAUAAAAAACUGCUACGAGGGCAGUGAUGAUUUAAUUCUUGAAACAUUGAGGUUAUUCGGAGAAAUAAUCGAGAGACGACACGAGCAUGUCCUACAUUGCUUAGUUCUCACUCAUCUAACAUGUAGGGGAUACUACAAUAGUGGAGCAGCUGACUGUGCUAUCGCUUCUUGGAGUGACGAAGAAGAUGAAAGAGAAAAAACCAGGUGUAGCUUAGACUUAUCGUAUAAACAAAAUCAUAGUCGAACAUUGGCACCCUCAAACAUUCACAGAAUCGUAAAUUGCUUUCUAUCCCUUCUACCCAGAGUGCUACAGUCGGACUUGGAUGCGAAUAAUUACCAGCAAUAUAUCACCGAUUGGGAAAAGCAGUACUCUUCAGUCCUAACUGAGUGUGCAUUGUUGUCUUGGCCCCUGGAAGCAGUGAAAAUGGAUGACUUGGCUAGUUUGGACUCGAGACCUGAGAAGGAUCAUUGCACGCCUAGAUUUUAUCCAGGGGAAUUCUUAACUAUGCUUUUCGAGAAAAUUACCAACAUUCCCCACCAGAAAUAUGACAUUAAUCUUCAAUUGACUGUGCUAGUAUCAAGGCUGGCGCUGCUGCCGCACCCAUAUGUCCAUGAAUUUCUGCUGAAUCCUUUGCUACCCCUAACACCGGGAACUAAAAGUUUGUUCGGGUGUUUACAGCAGGUUGUAAAGUACCUUGCAAUCGAGGUUACUAAGGUGAAGGGCUAUAAACAAAUUUUAAAAGACAUACGGCUUAAGUUGCUGCACGAUUCAAAUGACAACCAAGAAAAAGAGGACAUUCUCUUUGAAAGCGUCAUUAUCACUGAAGAAUUUUGCAAGGAGCUCGCAGCUAUAUCUUACGUGAAAUAUUAUCGUUCUAUGGGAAGUUUGAAAACUCAAUCCGUAACAUCUUGAAAUGAAUGUUGACCCUUGAAGGGUAAAUUUUCAUGCAAGCGUUAAUCGUGCUUGGAAGCAUAAAAGUUUCAUGCAAUUGCCGACGGAAUAGACGCUCUGAAAAGACAUUUGAUCCGAUACAUCGAACACAAGUAAUUUAACAUCUUCUCUCGGUGGCGGAUGCUCUCAAGAUAAACGUCCUAGUGGUCUGAAAAUAAGGAAACGGUGAAUGUAUUUCAAACUUGUAAAUGUGGCCUUCCGUUCAACUACGAAUAUUAAAUGAAAUUUGAAGAUGUAUUAUCGAAAAAAAUCGAUAAACCGGUAUGAUUUCUGGUCUUGCGACGAAGGAAGUAGUCAGUAGUUCGAAAUUGAGAGCUGAAAACUUAUUCGAAUAUUCACCUUGUCAACGAUCAGUCAUCGGAUAUUCCACGAAAUAUUUGAAUUUGCAAUCACGCUGUGAAGUAUCUGAUUAUUGUAGCGCCUUCAGUAGGACUAGGAGCGAUGUGAUGUAGCGCUUCAACUACCUUAUUUUCUUUUAUGAUUAUUAUACCUGUGUAUGUGAAUAACUAAUACCAUCCACGAUACGUACAAAAUCAAAGUAUCAAGACAUUCGCCAAGACAGUGCCCAGCACCGCAUUUUUCAAUUUGUUUCGUUAACAUUUUUUUUCAACUUUUUGAAUCAACGAUCCAGUUUUUUUUCAUUCCUCAAGUUCCUAUUUCUUCUAAAUGUGAGUAGGGUGAAAUUCUUUUUUCAUCUCAGCUUGGGGGUAAAAUUUGUAGCUUAGAUAACAAAAAAAAUUUCGAUGAAAAAAAAACAAACACCUCUCUCAAUAUUUAGAGGUGGCCCACUAAUUUUGAAAAUUAUUAAGGAAUGUGAAUUGCCGAAUAUCAUAGAUAUAUACAUAGUAUAUGAUCGUUUCCAACUAAACUUCUACUCUGAUACAAAAACAGAGAUAUGUAGUUUAAAAUUUUGUUUGGAAGAAUAUCCUGAAG
rnacentral:misc_RNA from 1 species